ensembl:lncRNA
CAAACAUUCUGAGAAUAAUCUUUGUAAAAUAAUUAUUACAUUAUUAAAACUGGUUGAGUUGUUGAAUCGUUACUGAAAGCUGUCCGGAUAGAGUGAUCAGAAAAGGAUACAGCUGUUGUUUCUCCCCGGACGCGAUAUGUGGCUGCACCGUAACGGUCUCAACAUCUUCAACCUCAAAACCGUGAAAAAACAAACAAAGAAAAACAUGUUUUGCUGGACGAGCAGCAGCGUGGGCUCGGAGCCGCUCGACGGCGUCGCUAACAUGUCUAAGAGCGACAUACUGAGAGGAAUCAUCACUGAGAAACUGAGCACAGCCGCCCGGGAGAUCUUAGCGGUGGUGGAGAGGACGAUAGCUGACUACGAGGAGGAGGUCGCGGGCUUCAGACAGGAGAUCGACCGGCAGAGGAGACUGCUGGAGCUUCUGCAGCCUCGGGUCAAGCUUGAGAGAAGAGACAUUCUCUGUCCAGAUGUGAAGGACACUGUGAACUCAGGUCUCCCGGUGUACGAUAAUGUGGACGAGGAGGGGGUGGAGAUGCCAUUUGUGCAACCAGACACAAGCUCCACACAGCAUGAAGAACAUCUUAAGGAACCAGAUCAUCAAAUACCUAUGCACAUAUCAAUUUGGAAUUCUGCCUCAAAGCCAGAAUUACAGGAAUGCACCACGUGUUGCAGAAGACUUUUUCACUGCCCUCUGUGCCCCACUUUCAGCCCUACUGUCAGGGCAGUGAUUGAGGAGCAUAUAAAUGGACACAUUAAAAAUGCUUUGCCUUUUAAAGAUAAAAUGAUAUGCCGGUGCAGACUGCCAUGUAGGACAACAGGACACUUUCACUGUCCUGUCUGUAACAUGACAAUCAUACGGCGUGGGGAUAUGGCAAGGCAUUUAUUGUCAUGUCAGCAUUCUUCAAUAGCUAGUCAGCCACCACUAUCAGGACUGCUCCCCACUGCACUCUCCAAGGAGCCCCGUCGCCCUCUCAUUGUCUUCUCUCCAGCAUCUAAACCAUUUUCUGAGUCUUCGGUAGAACAUGCUUAUGCUCUACCCUCUGUGCUAAAUAAAGUCCAUGAAAAUGAAAUGCCCUCACUGUGGUCUUAGUCUUCUUUAAAAAAAAAAAAGGCCUCAAGGCUCACAUGAUGAGGAGGCAUUCAAACAGAUCAUUCAAACAGAUCAAUAGAUGUUUGCCUGGCCUGGCAUCUGCAGUAUUUUUGUGUAGAGGGACUUCUUCCUCUUUGUUUUUCAGUUUGCAGAGGACAUGGAGCUCUUUUUAAAUGUGCUGACGAGCAGGGACUAUGGGUCAAUGCGAUGUUUGACAUUUAAUGGAGAGAUGAAGGAACUGGCUGUUUGGGUUUUGUUUUUUGUUUUUUUUAAUGUGUUGUUAGGUUGUUGUUUUGUUUUUGUUUUUUUUCAGUGUACAGAAUUCCAAUUAAAGUUAUUUCAAAAUGUUGUUUACUUGUUUCCAUGUCCAUACUUACAGUAAAACAUUACAGUGUAAAUGUAACAGCAUUGUUUUAUAUUGUUUUAUUGUUUUAUACUUGAAACUUCAAAUUUAAAAGCUUAGAGUUGCUAUUAACAUUAAUGUAUUACCCUGUAAUCAAUAACAUUUUUAUACAUUUUAUGCAUUAAGCCUCUGGGCUUUGUGCUGGCCAUUUGUAGCCACUUCACUUUUAUUUAUUUAUUUAUUACCAUUUUUGCAUCAAAUAUUACAUAGACUGCAGUGAAUUUAUUGAGCUUUGAGGUUCCCAGUCAAACGUAGCUUUGAAGCACGUGCUAAAAGAACUCUUGUACUUUUCAUAACAAGAUACCAUAUGCAAAAUAUUAACACUCAAAAAAAAUCAUAGGACAGUUCAAAGCUGCAGCACAAACAGCAAAAAAUACUGUUUGUAUAUGUGUCGGGGAGUUUAUGCAGGUGCACAAAGGACUACCGCUUUAAGUAAGUCUAACAGCUUCUUUCCAUCUUUUCUUUCUGAAAAGAUGGAAAGAAGAGCAUCACUGCUCUUUUCUACAAUCUCCCGGAUGUCUUGGAAUACAUUGCCUUUGUCCAAUGGAAACCGCUUCACAGUAGUAGCAGUCCUCUAAAACCUACAAAUGAGUAAUGAUCCUGGAAGAAAUGGGGCACACACUAGUGACUAAUAUAAAAUAGAUGAAGUAUACAAGAGAAUAGAACAAGAACACAAAUAGC